rnacentral:lncRNA from 1 species
UUUUUUCUUUCUUUUUUGGCAGCCCUGUGGCAUACGGAAUUCCCGGGCCAGGGAUUGGAUCCUAGCCACAGCUGUGGCAAUGCCGGAUCCUUAAACCCACUGUGCCAAGCUGGGGAUCAAACCUUCUUCCUGGUCCUGCAGAAAAGCUGCUGAUCCCAUCGUGCCACAGUGGGAGCUCUCCUUUUCUUUACUUUUCUUUUCUUUUCUUUAUAAUCAAAAUAAUUAUUUUUCAUCAAUCAUAAAUGCUCAGGUCUUGUCUGUCAUUUUCCCACAAAUUCAAUAAACUUAAAAAGAAAACCCUUUCAAUAAGUUAAUAUUGAAUGUGCGGAUUCAAUCAUUUCAUUUUCCACUUAUUUUUUCUUGGUAUCAUAAUUCGGGUUUGUAGACCACCCUCUUUCUAUGUGUGCCUAAUAACCAUUCUUGGGGGCUAUGGAGGCUUCUCACAAAUUCAGAUUUUAUUUUAUUUUGGACCACACCCAGGGCAUAUAGAAGUUCCCGGGCUAGGGGCUGAAUCAGAGGUACAGCUGACAGCAUGCACCACAGCCACAGCAAUGUGGGAUCUGAGCUGCGUCUGCAACCUACACCACAGCUCAUGACAACACCAGAUCCUUAACCCACUGAGUGAGGCCAGGGAUCAAACCUGCAUCCUCAGAGAUACUAGUCGGAUUAAUUUCCACUGCUCCACAAUGGGAACUCCACAAAUUCAGAUUUUAUUCCAGAGAGUUGCAAGAGAUCUGAGAAAGAAUGAUAACAAAAGCUCAAGAUACUUUAAGAUUUUUAAAUAUAAAUAAAAUGAAAUAUUUUAAUUUCAAGGAAUAUCCUUGUGCUUAGGUGAGUUCUUCCUUGUUCUCCAAAACCACAGGGUAAUUUUCUUAUGGGUUUUCUCAGGCACUGAAAGCAGAAUGCAGCCAAGCAGGCUGCCUUCCACAAGACAGAAACGUCUCAACUUGAUCAUGCGUUCUAGGUCUUCAUUCUGCAGCUAGCUGAAGUGGGAUAGACUGUAGAAGCAAGUCCUAUGCCACUCUGUUAGAGGAAAUGGAAUCUGCAGAUGACAUUAGAGGCAGCAGGUAACUUCAGCGUGCUCUCAGACCAGCCUAUCCAGCCUUAACCUUCUCUUUGGAAUAUGCCAUUGUGCCGAGACCAGCUCAGCGGCUGAGGGCUGAAGAAAGGGUGCUGUGAAAGUUAAGGAGAAAAGUUAACAUAAAGCAAGACACAGAGGCACUUAUCUUAAGUAAAGGUGGGACCCGGGGGACUCAGGUCUCAGGGGCCAAGAGCCCCGCCUCUAGAAACCCCACUGCUUUUCUGGUGCUCCUGAGGAUGAGGCCAAGUGAGGAGGGGGUUGCAGCUGCAGGAUAGAGGCUUUUUAAAGUUAUCUUAGAAGUCUCAUAGCCGGUUGGUGAUUAAGCUUUUGUUCUGACCUUUAGGCAUUUACCAGUCAUUAGCAUUGAGGAAGCUCGGAGUCAGCUAUCUAUGCAGAGCAUCUAGAGAAUCAGCCUAGGUUGGCGCCUCGGUUCUCCUGGCUGAUGCAUAUCCUGCUAAGGACCCCUCAUGAACCCCUUGGGGCCCUGAGGCUCAUCUUCCUCUUAUUCUUUGGAGGACACAGCACGCUGUGCAAACGGUGCGCCUAUCUGCACAGGUCCAGCGUGCCUAGACCCACGCAUUAGGUCCUCAUUCAGCUGACCCCAUGGAUAAUAUAUGCCUCUAGGUCUUUGUGCUUAAGCUCACGUCAUUCACCAGCACUGUGACUGUUUUUCAAGCAGGAAGAUAGGGUAAAGCAAAGCAAGAUAGAGGUUUCAGCAUAGAAAACAGAAGCAAAGAGCCUAAGAAAAGAUUGUAGAAACGUCUCGAGGCACCAUUGUGCCUUGCAAGUGUUACAAAGUGAGCUUCAGGUCAAAGGAAAUGAAAGCCCAGCUCCAAAGGGCUCAGUUGCCUCCCGCGACAGAGGCAGGCCGUCUACCUCUGCGCUAGAAACUCAGCCAAGCACUACUGUCAGCUCCCGGUUUCCCAGCUCAGGUCACUGACACCGGAGUCCGGGCUCCAGUCCGCGCGUAGCCUGUUUCCACUGCCAACAUUGUGACAUUGUGUCAUUCAUUUCUGCCAUUUCUAACAAAUAAGAUGACUUAAUGAAAUUACAUAUACUGGCCUCAAGUUUUAAAGUCCACGCAUGUUCCUAUGUAUGCACGCCAGUGUUUAUAGAGACAUAGGAAAAUCACCAGAAAGCAGGGCUGAAGUCCUAUCAACACCAAAACGUUUCUCUUAAAUAAGUCCAUUUUGGGAAAAGCGCUGUCACAUGGUCCUUGCACAUAAUUGCCUCACCUCUGAACUGCUGCGUUCACAUCUGGUCAUGAGGUGGGGGCUGGUUUUGACAGGAACCUGAUGGCAGUUUGCCUGUGUGUUUUGAGUCUGAAAAUGUAGUUGGCUGAUGUUUUGAGUCAAGGGGUCAGAAUAAACCACACCUCUUUCCCUGCUUUAGAGACAUACACUGCACUGGAAUUAGCUCUGUGUGUGUGUGUGUGUGUGUGUGGAGGGAGGGAAGGAGGGAGGGAGGGAAAGAUUGGGUGUGGGGUUGGGAUGAAAGGAAUGUGGCAGAGGAAAAACACCUGCUACCUUGCAAUUUAGCUUUUUCCAGGACUGGAUUUCUUAUUGCCCUCACAGCAGGGUUUCAGUGCCCCAGGUGGAAAACCAAGUUGUCCCAAAAUAAAAUUGACACCACUACGGAUGGGGGGGGGGGGCGAAUAUGCUUCAUAUUCUGACGUUGUAAGUAUCAGACUAUUGGAUGGUGUCACAGGAUAGACGUCUCUCUCCCUUUCAGGUUAGGGCUCCAGGACCCAGACAACCUUGGCCUUGAGACAAAGCACAGAUGGGUGUUCAUCCCCAUCUGUGAUGGGGCUGGAGAAAAAAGGCAUAAUAAGCAGGGUGGGGUGAUUCUUUAAAAGGAAAUCCGAACAGCUGCCUGGAAUUACUGCUGUAUAUGCUGGUGGGCUCCGUUUAGGUUCAUGAUAAGUGUUCCCUCUGAUUUUAAGAAGUGACAUAGUUCUGAUCACAAUUCAUCCCAUUUCUCCCCCUUCCAGCGGGACUCGACUUCCGCCCCCCUUGUCAAGGGGGAACCGCAUGGAAGAAGCGUCCGGGUGGAGGAGGGGCUGCCCUCGGUGACCCCGGGGGUGACAGAGUCAGAACUGGCCAUUCCCCAACCGGCCCCUGUUUCUCGGGGGGGGGGGCAGGUGAAGACGGAAGAUCACUGAUCACAGUCCCCUGUGCCCUUGUUUCGGGGGCUCUCGGAGCUGAACGGGGCACAGGGAGGUGGCCAACUGCCCACGUGACGGCGUCGCGGGGACCGGAGAAGGAGGCUCCGCGGGCCGCCCCCACCUCUCGCCUCCGUUGUCCCCUCUGCCAGGGACCAGUGUUGGGGCGACAUUUUUCGAUCCUGUUUCCGUCUUUCUUUUCAAAGGGACCCGCUGAGCGGACCGAUGAUGGGAAGACAGGACAGGCUCCGUCCCUCCCCGACCUUCCGCCGUCAGAAGUACCUGUUCCGACCCGCCUUUCCCGCCCCUCUGGGACCUCGGCUCCAGGGAGGCCCUGCGCGCGCCCCGGGGGUGGGCAGGGAAGGGCAGCCCUGGGAGAAGGGCCUCGGGUCCAAACCCGAAUCAAGCGUUGCCAUCGUGAAAACGUACUUUCUGCUCCCUGACGCCUUCGUUCCCUGCAUUUCUCGGAACGCAGCGUCGGAAGCAAAGCGGACAAGAGAAGGUCCCUUGGGAGGAGCCCCCACCGCCUGAACCCCAGCUCUGACGGCAGCAGGGCUCUGCCCUCGGGGAAACCAGCGAUGCUCUCCAUUGGUCAAAUGAGGAUAACGUCUGAGAUCCUACCUCUCAGGACCAGGUGAAGACGCAUUCAUGGAAAGGCACACCAGGCAGGCCAUACAUCAAAAAGCAAAUAUUCUGGAGCAUUUGCUUUGUGCUACAAACAUUCCUAAGUAUUUCAUAGGUGGUACCUCAAGUAAUCCUCAGACCUCUGUGAGGCAGGGUCUGUGUUUUGAUCUUCUUUUACAAGGAGGACGUGGAAGCACAGAGAGGGUGAAGAACUUACCCAACGUCACACAGCUAACAGGAAACAGAGUUGAGAUUCUAACACUAAUAGUCUGGCAUCAAGCCUGAGCUGGUAACCCCUGUGCUAGCCUCUCGAGUUAAUGACGGAGGACUCUAGCUUUAAAAAAUCAUUUUCCUACGAAAAUGAGAGAUUAUAUGGUCUGAAUACAAGUAUGGAAGAUAGGCAAGUCUCGAAAACACCAUCACAUGAUAAAAUGAGACUCUCUGAUCACUUGACCGAGGGAAGGUUGACCACUUUCCUGGUCCUUCCCCUCGUGCGUCCCACUGUCCCUUGCCUCAGUACUUUUGUCAUUGUUGCUCUUUGCUAAGACGUGAUUGGGACAAAAAUACUUGUAACUUGUGAUUUAUGAAGAAUGUUUGGGUCAUAGAAUCUGGUACACUUGAGAAGAAAGAGACUUUAAAGACCAUCGAAGAGAAAAUUCAGGCCCCCAGGAAGGGAUGGAACGUAACGAAGCCUACAAGCCCAAAGCUUAGCAAUGCCAGCACCAGGAUCUGGGAUUACCUCAGAUACAACUAAAAAAAAAAAAAAAAAAAAAAAAAAAAAAAANUAACCCAAAUUAAAUAUAGAAACUCGUUCCAUGAGAACAUCUUUUCCGUGUGUGUGUGUACACACAAGAGCGUGAAGAAAAGACUCGUGGGUUCUUUAGUUUUGUGGGUGGUGGGGCUACGUGUAGACCCUGUGAGCGUGUGCUUUUCCCCACGGUGGCGUUAAAACACGACUCGACUCUUGCUUGUUGAUGUCCAUUUGGUAACAGCCACAGAUACCUGGGAAAGCAUGGACAGCUUAGACAUCGAUGCUCCGAAUUAUCCAGCACAUCUGCGUUUAUCUAAGACGGGGCUUUGGUACAAGGCGAGUCAUCUUUGGUAACACAGGCAUACCUCAUUUUUGUGCCUCACAGAAUCUGUGUAACAAAUUGCAAUUUUGUGGCAAUCCUGCACCAAGAAAGCCAUUUUUCCACAAGCAUCUGCCCAUUCUGUCUCUGUCACAUUUUGGAAAUUCUCCAAUAUUUCAGUUUUUCACUGUUAUUGUAUUUGCUAUGGCGAGAGCCACGACCAGUCAUCUUUGAUGUGACAAAGGGGAAAAGAUGGCAGUUUGCUGAAGGCUCAGAUGAUGGUAAAGCAUUUUUUUAGCGAUAAAGUAUUUUUAAACUAAGGUCUCUGCAUUUUUUUUAGGUGUAAUGCUAAUGCACACUUAAUAGACUACAAUGUAGUGUAAACAUAACUUUUGUACACAGUAGAACACCAAAAAUUGUGUGUGACUCGCCUGUUUUUGGUAACAUUCGAUUUACUGCCGUGCUCUGGAACUGACCUCCCACCA